AGCAGCCGCGGUAAUUCCAGCUCCAAUAGCGUAUAUUAAAGUUGUUGCAGUUAAAAAGCUCGUAGUUGAAUUUCGGGAUCAGACUGUCGGUCGUGCCUCGGUACGCACUGGCAUUAUUGGUUCCUACCUUCUGAAGAACCGCGAUGUCAUUAAUUUGGUGUCGCGGGGAAUCAGGACUGUUACUUUGAAAAAAUUAGAGUGUUUAAAGCAGGCUUACGCUUGAAUACAUUAGUAUGGAAUAAUGAAAUAGGACGUUUGAUUCUAUUUUGUUGGUUUCUAGGAUCGACGUAAUGAUUAAUAGGGAUAGUUGGGGGCAUUAGUAUUCAAUUGUCAGAGGUGAAAUUCUUGGAUUUAUUGAAGACUAACUACUGCGAAAGCAUUUGCCAAGGAUGUUUUCAUUAAUCAAGAACGAAAGUUAGGGGAUCGAAGACGAUCAGAUACCGUCGUAGUCUUAACCAUAAACUAUGCCGACUAGGGAUCGGAUGAUGUUAAUUUUAUAAUGACUCA
rnacentral:rRNA from 1 species